CGCAGGCUGUAGAUCAAGUCAGCUGUGAAAUGUCUGGGCUUAACCCGGGCAUGCGGUUGAAACUGAUGUACUGGAGUGCUGUAGAGGCAAGUGGAAUUCCCAGUGUAGCGGUGAAAUGCGUAGAUAUUGGGAAGAACACCGGUGGCGAAGGCGACUUGCUGGGCAGCAACUGACGCUGAGGCGCGAAAGCCAGGGGAGCAAACGG
rnacentral:rRNA from 1 species